rnacentral:rRNA from 2 species
CUCCAUCCAGUGGUGAUCGGGUGAGUCCCACGUUUGUAACCUGCCCAGAAGCGGGGGACAACAUUUGGAAACAGACGCUAAUACCGCAUAACAGCGCCGCUCGCAUGAACAACGCUCAUACGAUGGCUUCUCGCUAUCACUUCUGGAUGGACCUGCGGUGCAUUAACUUGUUGGCGCGGUAAAGGCCUACCAAGGCCACGAUGCAUAUCCGUGUUUAAAGACCGCUCGGCCACUAUGUGAUUGACACACAUCCCAUACUCCUACGGGAGGCAGCAGUAGGGAAUCUUCCACAAUGGGCGCAAGCCUGAUGGAGCAACACCGCGUGAGUGAAGAAGGGUUUCGGCUCGUAAAGCUCUGUUGUUAAAGAAGAACACGUAUGAGAGUAACUGUUCAUACGUUGACGGUAUUUAACCAGAAAGUCACGGCUAACUACGUGCCAGCAGCCGCGGUAAUACGUAGGUGGCAAGCGUUAUCCGGAUUUAUUGGGCGUAAAGAGAGUGCAGGCGGUUUUCUAAGUCUGAUGUGAAAGCCUUCGGCUUAACCGGAGAAGUGCAUCGGAAACUGGAUAACUUGAGUGCAGAAGAGGGUAGUGGAACUCCAUGUGUAGCGGUGGAAUGCGUAGAUAUAUGGAAGAACACCAGUGGCGAAGGCGGCUACCUGGUCUGCAACUGACGCUGAGACUCGAAAGCAUGGGUAGCGAACAGGAUUAGAUACCCUGGUAGUCCAUGCCGUAAACGAUGAGUGCUAGGUGUUGGAGGGUUUCCGCCCUUCAGUGCCGGAGCUAACGCAUUAAGCACUCCGCCUGGGGAGUACGACCGCAAGGUUGAAACUCAAAGGAAUUGACGGGGGCCCGCACAAGCGGUGGAGCAUGUGGUUUAAUUCGAAGCUACGCGAAGAACCUUACCAGGUCUUGACAUCUUGCGCCAACCCUAGAGAUAGGGCGUUUCCUUCGGGAACGCAAUGACAGGUGGUGCAUGGUCGUCGUCAGCUCGUGUCGUGAGAUGUUGGGUUAAGUCCCGCAACGAGCGCAACCCUUGUUACUAGUUGCCAGCAUUAAGUUGGGCACUCUAGUGAGACUGCCGGUGACAAACCGGAGGAAGGUGGGGACGACGUCAGAUCAUCAUGCCCCUUAUGACCUGGGCUACACACGUGCUACAAUGGACGGUACAACGAGUCGCGAACUCGCGAGGGCAAGCAAAUCUCUUAAAACCGUUCUCAGUUCGGACUGCAGGCUGCAACUCGCCUGCACGAAGUCGGAAUCGCUAGUAAUCGCGGAUCAGCAUGCCGCGGUGAAUACGUUCCCGGGCCUUGUACACACCGCCCGUCACACCAUGAGAGUUUGUUACACCCAAAGUCGGUGGGGUAACCU